UGGGUAAUAGUUAAUUAUAACAUUUAAUUUGCAAUUAAAAAUUAUUGUACUCAAUUUACCUAA
rnacentral:tRNA from 1 species